rnacentral:rRNA from 1 species
UUAAGCGACUAAGCGUACACGGUGGAUGCCCUGGCAGUCAGAGGCGAUGAAGGACGUGCUAAUCUGCGAUAAGCGUCGGUAAGGUGAUAUGAACCGUUAUAACCGGCGAUUUCCGAAUGGGGAAACCCAGUGUGAUUCGUCACACUAUCAUUAACUGAAUCCAUAGGUUAAUGAGGCGAACCGGGGGAACUGAAACAUCUAAGUACCCCGAGGAAAAGAAAUCAACCGAGAUUCCCCCAGUAGCGGCGAGCGAACGGGGAGCAGCCCAGAGCCUGAAUCAGUGUGUGUGUUAGUGGAAGCGUCUGGAAAGGCGCGCGAUACAGGGUGACAGCCCCGUACACAAAAAUGCACAUGCUGUGAGCUCGAUGAGUAGGGCGGGACACGUGGUAUCCUGUCUGAAUAUGGGGGGACCAUCCUCCAAGGCUAAAUACUCCUGACUGACCGAUAGUGAACCAGUACCGUGAGGGAAAGGCGAAAAGAACCCCGGCGAGGGGAGUGAAAAAGAACCUGAAACCGUGUACGUACAAGCAGUGGGAGCACAGAGCAAUCUGUGUGACUGCGUACCUUUUGUAUAAUGGGUCAGCGACUUAUAUUCUGUAGCAAGGUUAACCGAAUAGGGGAGCCGAAGGGAAACCGAGUCUUAACUGGGCGUUAAGUUGCAGGGUAUAGACCCGAAACCCGGUGAUCUAGCCAUGGGCAGGUUGAAGGUUGGGUAACACUAACUGGAGGACCGAACCGACUAAUGUUGAAAAAUUAGCGGAUGACUUGUGGCUGGGGGUGAAAGGCCAAUCAAACCGGGAGAUAGCUGGUUCUCCCCGAAAGCUAUUUAGGUAGCGCCUCGUGAAUUCAUCUCCGGGGGUAGAGCACUGUUUCGGCAAGGGGGUCAUCCCGACUUACCAACCCGAUGCAAACUACGAAUACCGGAGAAUGUUAUCACGGGAGACACACGGCGGGUGCUAACGUCCGCCGUGAAGAGGGAAACAACCCAGACCGCCAGCUAAGGUCCCAAAGUCAUGGUUAAGUGGGAAACGAUGUGGGAAGGCCCAGACAGCCAGGAUGUUGGCUUAGAAGCAGCCAUCAUUUAAAGAAAGCGUAAUAGCUCACUGGUCGAGUCGGCCUGCGCGGAAGAUGUAACGGGGCUAAACCAUGCACCGAAGCUGCGGCAGCGACGCUUAUGCGUUGUUGGGUAGGGGAGCGUUCUGUAAGCCUGUGAAGGUGUACUGUGAGGUAUGCUGGAGGUAUCAGAAGUGCGAAUGCUGACAUAAGUAACGAUAAAGCGGGUGAAAAGCCCGCUCGCCGGAAGACCAAGGGUUCCUGUCCAACGUUAAUCGGGGCAGGGUGAGUCGACCCCUAAGGCGAGGCCGAAAGGCGUAGUCGAUGGGAAACAGGUUAAUAUUCCUGUACUUGGUGUUACUGCGAAGGGGGGACGGAGAAGGCUAUGUUGGCCGGGCGACGGUUGUCCCGGUUUAAGCGUGUAGGCUGGUUUUCCAGGCAAAUCCGGAAAAUCAAGGCUGAGGCGUGAUGACGAGGCACUACGGUGCUGAAGCAACAAAUGCCCUGCUUCCAGGAAAAGCCUCUAAGCAUCAGGUAACAUCAAAUCGUACCCCAAACCGACACAGGUGGUCAGGUAGAGAAUACCAAGGCGCUUGAGAGAACUCGGGUGAAGGAACUAGGCAAAAUAGUGCCGUAACUUCGGGAGAAGGCACGCUGAUAUGUAGGUGAAGUCCCUCGCGGAUGGAGCUGAAAUCAGUCGAAGAUACCAGCUGGCUGCAACUGUUUAUUAAAAACACAGCACUGUGCAAACACGAAAGUGGACGUAUACGGUGUGACGCCUGCCCGGUGCCGGAAGGUUAAUUGAUGGGGUCAGCGCAAGCGAAGCUCUUGAUCGAAGCCCCGGUAAACGGCGGCCGUAACUAUAACGGUCCUAAGGUAGCGAAAUUCCUUGUCGGGUAAGUUCCGACCUGCACGAAUGGCGUAAUGAUGGCCAGGCUGUCUCCACCCGAGACUCAGUGAAAUUGAACUCGCUGUGAAGAUGCAGUGUACCCGCGGCAAGACGGAAAGACCCCGUGAACCUUUACUAUAGCUUGACACUGAACAUUGAGCCUUGAUGUGUAGGAUAGGUGGGAGGCUUUGAAGUGUGGACGCCAGUCUGCAUGGAGCCGACCUUGAAAUACCACCCUUUAAUGUUUGAUGUUCUAACGUGGACCCGUAAUCCGGGUUGCGGACAGUGUCUGGUGGGUAGUUUGACUGGGGCGGUCUCCUCCUAAAGAGUAACGGAGGAGCACGAAGGUUGGCUAAUCCUGGUCGGACAUCAGGAGGUUAGUGCAAUGGCAUAAGCCAGCUUGACUGCGAGCGUGACGGCGCGAGCAGGUGCGAAAGCAGGUCAUAGUGAUCCGGUGGUUCUGAAUGGAAGGGCCAUCGCUCAACGGAUAAAAGGUACUCCGGGGAUAACAGGCUGAUACCGCCCAAGAGUUCAUAUCGACGGCGGUGUUUGGCACCUCGAUGUCGGCUCAUCACAUCCUGGGGCUGAAGUAGGUCCCAAGGGUAUGGCUGUUCGCCAUUUAAAGUGGUACGCGAGCUGGGUUUAGAACGUCGUGAGACAGUUCGGUCCCUAUCUGCCGUGGGCGCUGGAGAACUGAGGGGGGCUGCUCCUAGUACGAGAGGACCGGAGUGGACGCAUCACUGGUGUUCGGGUUGUCAUGCCAAUGGCACUGCCCGGUAGCUAAAUGCGGAAGAGAUAAGUGCUGAAAGCAUCUAAGCACGAAACUUGCCCCGAGAUGAGUUCUCCCUGACUCCUUGAGAGUCCUGAAGGAACGUUGAAGACGACGACGUUGAUAGGCCGGGUGUGUAAGCGCAGCGAUGCGUUGAGCUAACCGGUACUAAUGAACCGUGAGGCUUAACCUU